rnacentral:rRNA from 1 species
GGACCGGACAAACGUUAUUCGGAAUCACUGGGCUUAAAGAGUACGUAGGCGGCUCAGAAAGUUGGAUGUGAAAUCCCUCGGCUCAACCGAGGAAUUGCGUUCAAAACUACUGAGCUUGAGGAAGGUAGGGGUGAGCGGAACUGAUGGUGGAGCGGUGAAAUGCGUUGAUAUCAUCAGGAACACCAGUGGCGAAGGCGGCUCACUGGGCCUUUUCUGACGCUGAGGUACGAAAGCUAGGGUAGCGAACGGGAUUAGAUACCCCGGUAGUCCUAGCUGUAAACGAUGAGCACUAGAUCGAGCGGACCUCCACAUCUGCUGGGUCGUAGCGAAAGUGUUAAGUGCUCCGCCUGGGGAGUAUGGUCGCAAGGCUGAA